rnacentral:tRNA from 1 species
GCGCCCUUAGCUCAGCCGGAUAGAGCAGUGGACUUCUAAUCCACCGGUCGGGGGUUCGAAUCCCUCAGGGCGCGC